UAAAUUAAACAGCUAACAAGAAUAUGAUUCAAAAACUAGGCAUAAUAAAUCAUUGAGAAGUAUAAAUUAUAGAGCUAAACAAGAUAACACUCAAGAGACAUUUGUCAUGUUCCUCUUAACUGAUAAGAAACAGCAUGGUUCAAUUAAGGUACAGCAGUCCAGCAGAGUCAAAAGCAUAGAGUAGGAGGCCACCAUUCCUUCAAAAUAGAAGGUCCAAAAGGCCAAGAUAGGCGAUAAACUAAAGCAAACAUCUGUCAGUUUCCCCUUAUCUUCAGGCAAAAUGAUACUAAUAUCCGCCAGGACACUCUCAUAUCACUAAGAUGGCAUGUACGUAGAAGUAUCAAUCUGCUCAGGAAGCUCUUUUAUGUCUACUUCAAACCUUUCCUGAACCUGAUUAAGAACUUCAGAAUCUGACGCAGAGGACACAAAUGUAAUGGCAAGGCCUUUCGUCCCAAACCUACCAGCUCUACCCACUCUGUGAAGGUAAGUGUCUGCAGAAUCUGGCAUGUCAUAGUUAAUAACAAUGUUAACCCUUUCAAUGUCAAUGCCCCUACCAACCAAAUCAGUUGCCACAAGA
rnacentral:misc_RNA from 1 species